CCGUAAAAUGCCCCUGUUGGUGCUCGCGGUGUGGUUCACAUGCCGCAGUUCAACGGGAAGCAGGGAGGUUUCGCCAAACAUGGUGAACCCAGCCUGCGCUGCCCCCGCAACGGUCAGCGGACGAGUCAUCCGACUCUCUCUCCAAUCACACGCCACUGGGUGCCUUGAACAAGCCCUGGGAAGGCAUUGGAGGGCGUUCCGCCAGCCCGGAUACCGGCCAACAUGGUGGCACCGCA
rnacentral:ncRNA from 2 species